GCUUGUCUCAAAGAUUAAGCCAUGCAUAUCUAAGAAUAACUAACAUUAUCUUGAAUCUGUGAAUGGCUCAUUAUAUCAGUUAUAGUUUACAUGAUAGUCAAUACUACUUGGAUAACCGUAGUAAUUCUAGAGCUAAUACAUGCAUAAAGACCCGACUUCUGGAAGGGUUGUAUUUAUUAGAAUAAAACCAAUUCGUUUUCGGACGACAUUGUGGUGAGUCAUAAUAACUUAGCGGAUCGCAGUGCCUUUGGCGGCGAUGAAUCAUUCAAAUUUCUGCCCUAUCAACUUUCGAUGGUAAGGUAUUGGCCUACCAUGGUUACCACGGGUAACGGGGAAUUAGGGUUCGGUUCCGGAGAGGGGGCCUGAGAAAUGGCCACCACAUCCAAGGAAGGCAGCAGG
rnacentral:rRNA from 1 species